rnacentral:rRNA from 1 species
GACGAACGCUGGCGGCGUGCCUAAUACAUGCAAGUCGAACGCUUCUUUUCUACCGAGUGCUUGCACUCACUUGAAAAGAAGAGUGGCGAACGGGCGAGUAACACGUGGGUAACCUGCCCAUCAGAAGGGGAUAACACUUGGAAAUAGGUGCUAAUACCGUAUAACAAUAGGAACCGCAUGGUUCCAAUUUGAACGGCGCUUUCGGGUUUCGCUGAUGGCUGGACCCGCGGUGCAUUAGCUAGUUGGUGAGGUAACGGCUCACAAAGGCAAUGAUGCAUAGCCGACCUGAGAGGGUGAUCGGCCACACUGGGACUGAGACACGGCCCAGACUCCUACGGGAGGCAGCAGUAGGGGACCUUCGGCAAUGGACGAAAGUCUGACCGAGCAACGCCGCGUGAGUGAAGAAGGUUUUCGGAUCGUAAAACUCUGUUGUUAGAGAAGAACAAGGAUGAGAGUAACUGUUCAUCCCUUGACGGUAUCUAACCAGAAAGCCACGGCUAACUACGUGCCAGCCGCCGCAGUAA